GACAGAGGCCCCAAGCGUUAGGCGGAAUCACUGGGCUUAAAGCGUGUGUAGGCGGAUCGUUAAGUGUCUUGUGAAAUCCCACGGCUCACCCGUGGAACUGCUGGGCAUACUGGGCGUCUUGGGCCAACUAGGGGCAGCCGGAACAAGCGGUGGAGCGGUGAAAUGCGUAGAUAUCGCUUGGAACGCCGAAGGUGAAAACAGGCUGCUGGGGUUGCGCCGACGCUGAGACACGAAAGCCAGGGGAGCAAACGGG
rnacentral:rRNA from 1 species